rnacentral:lncRNA from 1 species
GUCACCAAAGAGUGAGUGAGGUUAUAUUUGUAUAAUUACAAAUGUAUAUUUAUUUAAUUAUUAUUAUAUUUGUAUAAUCUCACUUCAAAAUUAUAUUUGUAUAAUCUCACUUCAAAAGUGCCACAAUCUCCUAUUGGAUGGUAGCAAUUGGACCUGCAUUCUUUGGUGAUGCGAACAAGCAGAGAGAAAUUUAAAAAUAUGCAAGUGGUGUGCUAGAUUAAAAACUCUCUUCUAGGCUUUGCAUUUGUGAAUACGGAAAGAUUUAUUUCAGUCAUUAGAUUAGUUUUAAGUAUUCCCAAGGCCCGAAAUUCUCAUCAACUUUGAGUCUUUUCAAAGACCAUGCUGUGUACCGAUGAUAGGUUGAGAUGGUGCAAUAUAUAAACAAGCUGCAAUUUCAGGUAAUUGGGUCGAGAUAGCAAACUGGCUGUUCGGCAUUGUGUGUGUAGAUUGAAUGGUUAAUUUAUUGGUUCUACUUCCUUUUAAAAUCGUUCUUUUGUCAUCAUCAAUGAAUGUAUUUAGGUAUGUAUUUUUCUCGCUAAUGUUUUUGUUUCCUUUUAGAUGAAAUAGCUCUUGCAUGAGAGAGCAAUUUUGAAAAGAAAGGGGGAAAAUGCAUGUGUUUUCAUUCCUCUGUAUUACUUCAGAGAGGGGAGAGGUGCUCUGGUGGCAUCUUGCUCUAUCCACCUUAGCCUAUUGGUAAAAUCCCUUACUCCGGUGAUGAAGACAUUGGAGAAAUACAUGAUACAUUCAGAUAUGCUGGCCUCUGAGUGACAUCAGAGUUGCAAUAGCACUUACCAUCUAUCUCCCCUCUGGAAUGUGACUUCCUGGAAAACAGGACGGUAACCUAGUCAUUAUCAUAUCCUAGCACAAUGCCUGGAAAAUAAUAGUCAUUGAAGAAGUGUUGUUUGCCGCAUUGAUACUCUGGAAUAGCUUACGAUUGCAGCCUCUCCAUCAUUAUGUUACUAGUCUCACCUGAGCACAAUGGAACUGUUCCUUAAAGAAUGUCACAUGCAUGUAACAACUAGAGCUAAUUGACUGGGUAGAAAGGGAGCCAGAGUUCUUUCUUCCAGGGAUUUAAAAG